CCGAGUUAGGGUCUACCUCCAGGCCCGACCUCCUUACCUCUGUUUACCUGACCUCACGUUGCUUCGGCGGGCCCGUCCCCUUAACCAGGCGACCGCCGGAAGGGGCUCACCCCUUCUGGCCCGUUGCUCGCCGAUGGCCCUCAACCAAAACACUCUUAAACUGUGGAAUUUAGUCUGAAUCUUGAUUCUAAAAUAACUAA
rnacentral:misc_RNA from 1 species